UUUUUCUGCUGUGUGUGGGUAUAAUUCUGAUUGUUAUAGCUGUCCUCAUGUACACAUUCAAAAGAAACAACAAUGAUCAUCACAAAGCACUUGUCCAGCAGAAAAACUUUUGUGGUCAGAAAACACAACAGAAUAAGGACACAUGGAUGUUUUCUGCUGUUGUCUUUACCAUGAUAGAAGCUGACAGGUGCGAAAUGAAAGAGUCAAAGGUGGAGAAGCAUGAAAUCUACAAAGCUGUGAAGACCUUUGGCCUUGAAUAGGUGAUCAAAAGCAUGACUGCUUAU